rnacentral:rRNA from 1 species
GGGUUGUGAGGUUAAGCGACUAAGCGUACACGGUGGAUGCCCUGGCAGUCAGAGGCGAUGAAGGACGUGCUAAUCUGCGAUAAGCGUCGGUAAGGCGAUAUGAACCGUUAUAACCGGCGAUUUCCGAAUGGGGAAACCCAGUGUGAUUCGUCACACUAUCAUUAACUGAAUCCAUAGGUUAAUGAGGCGAACCGG